rnacentral:rRNA from 1 species
UGAGGAAUAUUGGACAAUGGGCGCAAGCCUGAUCCAGCAAUGCCGCGUGCAGGAUGAGGGCCUUCGGGUUGUAAACUGCUUUUGUGCGGAGCGAAAAGGUCUGCCCUAAUACGGUGGGCUCAUGACGGUACCGUAAGAAUAAGCACCGGCUAACCACGUGCCAGCAGCCGCGGUAAUACGUAGGGUGCGAGCGUUAAUCGGAAUUACUGGGCGUAAAGCGUGCGCAGGCGGUUAUAUAAGACAGAUGUGAAAUCCCCGGGCUCAACCUGGGACCUGCAUUUGUGACUGUAUAGCUAGAGUACGGUAGAGGGGGAUGGAAUUCCGCGUGUAGCAGUGAAAUGCGUAGAUAUGCGGAGGAACACCGAUGGCGAAGGCAAUCCCCUGGACUUGUACUGACGCUCAUGCACGUAAGCGUGGGGAGCAAACA